AUUGAACGCUGGCGGCAUGCCUUACACAUGCAAGUCGAACGGCAGCACGGGAGCAAUCCUGGUGGCGAGUGGCGAACGGGUGAGUAAUAUAUCGGAACGUGCCCAGUAGUGGGGGAUAACUGCUCGAAAGAGCAGCUAAUACCGCAUACGACCUGAGGGGGAAAGGGGGGGAUCGCAAGACCUCUCGCUAUUGGAGCGGCCGAUAUCAGAUUAGCUAGUUGGUGGGGUAAAGGCCUACCAAGGCAACGAUCUGUAGUUGGUCUGAGAGGACGACCAGCCACACUGGGACUGAGACACGGCCCAGACUCCUACGGGAGGCAGCAGUGGGGAGUUUUGGACAAUGGGCGCAAGCCUGAUCCAGCAAUGCCGCGUGCAGGAAGAAGGCCUUCGGGUUGUAAACUGCUUUUGUCAGGGAAGAAAUCCUCUAGGUUAAUACCCUUGGGGGGAUGACGGUACCUGAAGAAUAAGCACCGGCUAACUACGUGCCAGCAGCCGCAGUAACAC
rnacentral:rRNA from 1 species